rnacentral:lncRNA from 1 species
CAGCAACACUUCAAGUUUUACGCACACUUCACCACACCUUCUUGAACUCUUUUAUAGAACCGGUUUAGUGUCUCCCCCUUUCACCGGACUUCAUGCCAUCUUGAAAGGCUAGGAGCGACCUGAUCCUCUCCAUUGAGUCUCCAAGUAAGGUACCUGAUACAUUAUUCCACAAGUGUAUCAGUACUUAUCAAGUAACAUAACUCAAUCAAUUCAUGCUUAUAGACCGUCUUAGUAAGACUAGUAUUCCUUAUAGAUUACUAGAUAUGUUGCCGUCUAGUAAAACUUGUAUUCCUAAUAGAUUACAAGAUAUGAUUGAAAAUGAUGAAUUGAAAUUGAGUACGGGGAAACUUCCCUUUUGUUUUGGUGAGGAGUGACUGGACCGGCCUGAGUCUUCCCUUCUCUCGUGGCUUCUUGCCAUCUCCAUCAGGUUAGACAUGCCUAGCUCCUUUUGCUUUGGAGAGGAGUGGCUGCUCUUCACACACCACUUGAGUCCCUCACUUUCUGAGCUUAUCAGCUCCUUCUCUUAUCAUGCAAGCUCACCA